rnacentral:rRNA from 1 species
AUGGCGUCGCCGCUGCGUAACGGGGAUCAGGCGGCGGCGGGGGGACGGAGGAAGGAGUCGAGGCGGCUGGGGACGCUCCUCCUGGUGCUGCGGGUGGCGGCGCUGUGCUUUAGCCUCGCGGCGGCGGUGUUCGCGGCGACGGACGGCGCCGUGCUGCGGCUGGCGCCGUUCAGGUUCCUGCUGGCGGCGAACGCGAUCGUGGCGGUAUACUCGGUGUUCGAGGUCGCCGCGGCGGCGUGGGAGGUGGCCAAGGGCGCCACGCUGCUCCCGGAGGCCUUGCAGCUCUGGUUCGACUUCGGCCACGACCAGGGUUUCGGGUACAUGGCGCUGGCAGCGGCGGCGGCGGCGGCGCGGGAAGCGGCGUUGUGCGGCGGAGGCCAGGAGCGGAAUAUCAGCAGCACGGCGUGCCUGCAGGGCGACAUCGCCGUGGGGCUCGGGUUCGCGGCGUUCGCUUUCCUGGCGCUGGCGGCGCUCGCGACGGGGUUCCGGCUCGUCCGCUUCCUCGCCACCGGUUCCCGGCUCCCGGCGGGGGCCUCCUCCCCGUAUUGA